AUACUUGCUUUGGCAGUACAUAUACUAAAAUUAGAACGAUAGAGAAAAGAUUAAUUAGCAUGGCGCCUGCUCGAGGAUGACACGCAAAAUCGUGAAGUGUUCCACAUUUUU